GACGAACGCUGGCGGCGUGCCUAAUACAUGCAAGUCGAACGCUGAAGGAGGAGCUUGCUUCUCUGGAUGAGUUGCGAACGGGUGAGUAACGCGUAGGUAACCUGCCUGGUAGCGGGGGAUAACUAUUGGAAACGAUAGCUAAUACCGCAUAAGAGUAGAUGUUGCAUGACAUUUGCUUAAAAGGUGCAAUUGCAUCACUACCAGAUGGACCUGCGUUGUAUUAGCUAGUUGGUGGGGUAACGGCUCACCAAGGCGACGAUACAUAGCCGACCUGAGAGGGUGAUCGGCCACACUGGGACUGAGACACGGCCCAGACUCCUACGGGAGGCAGCAGUAGGGAAUCUUCGGCAAUGGACGGAAGUCUGACCGAGCAACGCCGCGGGAGUGAAGAAGGGUUUCGGAUCGUAAAGCUCUGUUGUAAGAGAAGAACGAGUGUGAGAGUGGAAAGUUCACACUGUGACGGUAGCUGACCAGAAAGGGACGGCUAACUACGUG
rnacentral:rRNA from 1 species